AAUAGAUACCCUGGUAGUCCACGCCGUAAACGGUGGGUACUAGGUGUGGGUUUCCUUCCUUGGGAUCCGUGCCGUAGCUAACGCAUUAAGUACCCCGCCUGGGGAGUACGGCCGCAAGGCUAAAACUCAAAGGAAUUGACGGGGGGCCCGGCACAAGCGGCGGAGCAUGUGGAUUAAUUCGAUGCAACGCGAAGAACCUUACCUGGGUUUGGCAUGCACAGGACGCUGGUAGAGAUAUCAGUUCCCUUGUGGUCUGUGUGCAGGUGGUGCAUGGCUGUCGUCAGCUCGUGUCGUGAGAUGUUGGGUUAAGUCCCGCAACGAGCGCAACCCUUGUCUCAUGUUGCCAGCACGUGAUGGUGGGGACUCGUGAGAGACUGCCGGGGUCAACUCGGAGGAAGGUGGGGAUGACGUCAAGUCAUCAUGCCCCUUAUGUCCAGGGCUUCACACAUGCUACAAUGGCCGGUACAAAGGGCUGCGAUGCCGUGAGGUUAAGCGAAUCCUUUAAAGCCGGUCUCAGUUCGGAUCGGGGU
rnacentral:rRNA from 1 species